GUGAACAAAAGCAGAAGGCAAGGAAAAGAUUUUCACCAAGAUUUCCUAUCAUAGGAUAAAAUACUCUCCAGAUGGCUGAGAGAGUAGAAAACCACUGACAUGAACGAAGUGGAAAAAACUCCCAAGUUGUUGAAGAAGAGAGUUUCAUAUCCUCAGCCCUACAACCUCCAGAAAACUGAUACUUUGACAAUUAUGUGCCUCCUGUUCCAAAAAUGAAAUAUGCCAGCUGAUUCUUGUGGGAAUAAGUUGUCAGAGAUGCCAUGAGAUCAGAAUCCUGGGAUAAGUUGCAACUAUUAAUUAGCCACAGAGGAAUCAAUGAAUGAAAUAUGUCUGCUGUGUGCUACAGGAAUCAGGGAGCAUCUAAAAUUUGCUUCUUCAAGACUUUACUUCUUCACCUCCAUUCAUACUUCUAUCUAUUAUUAUGCAUUAUUAUGUAUUAUU